GACGAACGCUGGCGGCGUGCUUAACACAUGCAAGUCGAACGGAAAGGCCCUGCUCUUGUGGGGUGCUCGAGUGGCGAACGGGAGAGAAACACGUGAGUCACCUGCCCUUGACUGUGGGAUAACUUCAGGAAACUGGGGAUAACACCGGAUAGGAGCUCCUGCUGCGUGGGGGGGGGUGGAGAGUUUCGGCGGUUGGGGAUGGACUCGCGGCUUCUCAGCGUGGUGGUGGGGUAGUGGCUUACCAAGGUUUUGACGGUUAGCCGGCUUGAGAGGGUGACCGGCCACAUUGGGCCUGGGAUACGGCCCAGCCCCCUCCGGGAGGCAGCAGUGGGGAUUAUUGCACAUUGGGCGGAGGCUGGUGGCACCACGCCCGCGUGCGGGAUGACGGCCUUCGGUUGUUAACCCGCUUCCCCCUUGGCGGAAGUGUGUGUGACGGUAGUGGGUAAAGAAGCACCGGCUAACUACGUG
rnacentral:rRNA from 1 species